GAUGAACGCUGGCGGCGUGCCUAAUACAUGCAAGUCGAGCGAGAAUCAGUCGAACUGCGAUUCGUCAAAGUGAAGCUGACUGAGUGGCGGACGGGUGCGUAACGCGUGGGUAACCUGCCUCAUACAGGGGGAUAACAGUUAGAAAUGACUGCUAAUACCGCAUAAGCGCACAGUACCGCAUGGUACGGUGUGAAAAACUCCGGUGGUAUGAGAUGGACCCGCGUCUGAUUAGCUAGUUGGUGGGGUAACGGCCUACCAAGGCGACGAUCAGUAGCCGAUCUGAGAGGGUGACCGGCCACAUUGGGACUGAGACACGGCCCAAACUCCUACGGGAGGCAGCAGUGGGGAAUAUUGCACAAUGGGCGAAAGCCUGAUGCAGCGACGCCGCGUGAGUGAAGAAGUAUUUCGGUAUGUAAAGCUCUAUCAGCAGGGAAGAAAAUGACGGUACCUGACUAAGAAGCACCGGCUAAAUACGUGCCAGCAGCCGCCGUAACAC
rnacentral:rRNA from 1 species